GGCUCUGUGGCGCAAUGGAUAGCGCAUUAGACUUCUAGGCUGUGAGCUGAGCCAUUCAAAGGCUGUGGGUUCGAGUCCCACCAGAGUCG
rnacentral:tRNA from 1 species